GCCCGGUUAGCUCAAUCGGUAGAGCGUGAGACUCUUAACAGAGUUCACCAUCUCAAGGUUGCGGGUUCGACCCCCGCAUCGGGCU
rfam:Cordyceps confragosa RCEF 1005 scaffold_2, whole genome shotgun sequence.